ACGGCGAGUGAAGCGGCAACAGCUCAAAUUUGAAAGCUGGCCUUCGGGUCCGCAUUGUAAUUUGUAGAGGAUGCUUUGGGUGAAACGCCAGUCUAAGUUCCUUGGAACAGGACGUCAUAGAGGGUGAGAAUCCCGUAUGUGACUGGAAAUGUUAACCUAUGUAAAGCUCCUUCGACGAGUCGAGUUGUUUGGGAAUGCAGCUCUAAAUGGGAGGUAAAUUUCUUCUAAAGCUAAAUAUUGGCGAGAGACCGAUAGCGCACAAGUAGAGUGAUCGAAAGAUGAAAAGCACUUUGGAAAGAGAGUUAAAAAGCACGUGAAAUUGUUGAAAGGGAAGCGCUUGCAAUCAGACUUGUUUAAACUGUUCGGCCGGUCUUCUGACCGGUUUACUCAGUUUGGACAGGCCAGCAUCAGUUUCGGCGGCCGGAUAAAGGCUCUGGGAAUGUGGCCUUCACUUCGGUGAAGGUGUUAUAGCCCAGGGUGUAAUACGGCCAGCCGGGACUGAGGUCCGCGCUCGGCU
rnacentral:rRNA from 1 species